CACGCAACAUUAGUGCGGAAAGUAAACGCUACUGUGCGUACUUCUCGUACCACCGGCCUGUACUGUCAGUACUUGCGUUGCCUAGUGAACCUCAAGAGUCCACACAACACGAGUAAUUCAACGAUCAUGAGAUCUGGACAUCGCUGCUGAUAGAGGAUACCGGCAUUUCUCGUCCUUGGCCUGACAAUCCAGCGGUAGUCAGUGUUGUUCUCUCAUCAUUUUUCCUGCAGUCGGGGCAACUCUACUGAUUUGAGUUUGGGUCUCGGCCUUGCUCCGGUAGAGCUCUGCUUUGUUCUUGCCAACAACCAACAAUGCUUUCGUUCAAACUGCUUCCAUCCAAGUGUUGGGAUAGUUUUCCUGGGAGAUAUCUGCAUUGCUCCGAUAUCAACGCUGGCAGCCCGGCGCGUAGAUCGUAGCUUCAUCAUUUUUCCUGCAGUCGGGGCAUCUCUGCCGUUUGAGUAUGGGUCUCGGCUUUACUCCGGUAGAGCUCUGCCUUGUUCUUGCCAACAACCAACAAUGCUUCCAUCCAAGUGCUGGGAUAGUUUGCCACCCGAUAUCUCGGACUGCGAUUCUUGGCUCAUCUGUGAGCGCCUACAUCCACAAAGGAUUCCACACACCGUUGAAACUGUUUCUUCCUCUGGGAGAAUUCUGCUUUGCUCCGAUAUCAACGCUGGCAGCCCGGCACGUAGAUCGGACUCAAUCGUUAGUCAGCGAUUGUUGGAUACGUUCUCUCAUCAUCGAAAGCUCCAUCAUUUUUACUGCAGUCGGGGCAUCUCUGCCGUUUUAGUAUGGGUCUCGGCCUUACUCCGGUAGAGCUCUGCCUUGUUCUUGCCAACAACCAACAAUGCUUCCAUCCAAGUGCUGGGAUAGUUUGCCACCCGAUAUCUCGGACUGCGAUUCUUGGCUCAUCUGUGAGCGCCUACAUCCACAAAGGAUUCCACACAUCGUUGGAACUUUUCUUCCUCUGGGAGAAUUCUGCUUUGCUCCGAUAUCAACGCUGGCAGCCCGGCGCGUAGAUCGGACUCAAUCGUUAGUCAGCGAUUGUUGGAUACGUUCUAUCAUCAU